CAUGUACUCCCUCCGUCCGAAAAAGCUUGUCCUUCAAAUGAAUGUAUCUAGCACCAAGUUAGUGCUAGAUACAUCCAUUUGAGGGACAAGCUUGGGACAAGCUUUUUCGGACGGAGGGAGUAAUUA
rnacentral:pre_miRNA from 1 species